CCAGAGGUGGGGGAGAAGUCGAUGUUGUAACCAGUCGCCGUGUGCAGCAUGUGCUAAAAGGAGUUGUUGCAGUCCAGAAGACGUGAUUGGUGUGUGAUAAUCCAGAGGGACAUUAAUGCUUGACUGAAUUUUGGAAAUGAGAGGCAGUAAAUGUGUUUGAGGAUGGAGUGGUGGUGGGUAGUGCCGUAACCAGGUUGCAGAAAGGGUGGACUACUACAUGUAUGGGGCUGUGCAAUGGACUGUGUUGAGGAGAAGAAGCAGCAGUGGCAGCAGCAGCAGGGGCGGCGGCGGUAGCAGCAGUGGCGGCAGUUGUUUAAGAUAAGUAGUGUGGUGUGGUGC